CAGUCGAGCGGUAACAGAACUAGCUUGCUAGUUGCUGACGAGCGGCGGACGGGUGAGUAACGCGUAGGAAUCUGCCCGGUAAUGGGGGAUAGCCCGGAGAAAUCCGGAUUAAUACCGCAUACGCCCUAUGGGGGAAAGGUGGCCUCUUCUUGAAAGCUACCGUUAUCGGAUGAGCCUGCGUCGGAUUAGCUAGUUGGUGGGGUAAAGGCCUACCAAGGCGACGAUCCGUAGCUGGUCUGAGAGGAUGAUCAGCCACACUGGGACUGAGACACGGCCCAGACUCCUACGGGAGGCAGCAGUGGGGAAUAUUGGACAAUGGGCGCAAGCCUGAUCCAGCCAUGCCGCGUGUGUGAAGAAGGCUUUCGGGUUGUAAAGCACUUUCAGCGGGGAGGAAAGGUUUAAGGUUAAUACCCUUGAGCUGUGACGUUACCCGCAGAAGAAGCACCGGCUAACUCCGUGCCAGCAGCCGCGGUAAUACGGAGGGUGCGAGCGUUAAUCGGAAUUACUGGGCGUAAAGCGUGCGUAGGCGGUGAUCUAAGUGGGAUGUGAAAGCCCCGGGCUCAACCUGGGAAUUGCACCCCAAACUGGGUCACUAGAGUACAGCAGAGGAGUGUGG
rnacentral:rRNA from 1 species